rnacentral:rRNA from 1 species
CCUUCCGUAGGUGAACCUGCGGAAGGAUCAUUACAGUAGUCGCCCGGGUUGCCGCAAGGCCUCCCGGGUAACCUACCACCCUUUGUUUAUUACACUUUGUUGCUUUGGCAAGCCUGCCCUCGGGCUGCUGGCUCCGGCCGGCGAGCGCUUGCCAGAGGACCUAAACUCUGUUUGUCUAUACUGUCUGAGUACUAUAUAAUAGUUAAAACUUUCAACAACGGAUCUCUUGGUUCUGGCAUCGAUGAAGAACGCAGCGAAAUGCGAUAAGUAAUGUGAAUUGCAGAAUUCAGUGAAUCAUCGAAUCUUUGAACGCACAUUGCGCCCCCUGGUAUUCCGGGGGGCAUGCCUGUCCGAGCGUCAUUACAACCCUCAAGCUCAGCUUGGUGUUGGGCCCCGCCGCCCCGGCGGGCCCUAAAGUCAGUGGCGGUGCCGUCCGGCUCCGAGCGUAGUAAUUCUUCUCGCUCUGGAGGUCCGGUCGUGUGCUCGCCAGCAACCCCCAAUUUUUUUCAGGUUGACCUCGGAUCAGGUAGGGAUACCCGCUGAACUUAAGCAUAUCAA